AACGUAGGUGGCAAGCGUUAUCCGGAUUUACUGGGCGUAAAGCGUGUGCAGGCGGGGGUACAAGUGGUGUAUGAAAUUUCCCAGCUUAACUGGGAAGGGUUAUGCCAGACUGUACUUCUGGAGUGCGAGAGAGGGGCGUGGAAUUCCGGGUGUAGUGGUGAAAUGCGUAGAGAUCCGGAGGAACCCAGAGGCGAAGGCGGCUCACUGGACUGGUAUUGACGCUGAGGUGCGAAAGCGUGGGGAGCAAACAGGG
rnacentral:rRNA from 1 species